rnacentral:rRNA from 1 species
AUUACCCAAUCCUGACGUGGGGAGGUAGUGACAAAAAAUAACAAUACAGGGCUUUUUUGUAGUCUUGUAAUUGGAAUGAGUACAAUUUAAAUCUCUUAACGAGGACCAAUUGGAGGGCAAGUCUGGUGCCAGCAGCCGCGGUAAUUCCAGCUCCAAUAGCGUAUUGUAAAGUUGUUGCAGUUAAAAAGCUCGUAGUUGGAUUUCGGGCUCGACGGCGACGGUCAGCCGCAAGGUAUGUUACUGUCGACGUUGGCCUUCUUCGCGCAGACUUCGCGUGCUCUUAACUGAGUGUGCGUUGGAUACGCGACGUUUACUUUGAAAAAAUUAGAGUGUUCAAAGCAGGCUUGUGCUUGGAUACAUAAGCAUGGAAUAAUGGAAUAGGACUUUGGUUCUAUUUUCCGUUGGUUUCUGGAACCGAAGUAAUGAUUAAUAGGGACAGUUGGGGGCAUUCGUAUUUCGUUGUCAGAGGUGAAAUUCUUGGAUUUACGAAAGACGAACUAAUGCGAAAGCAUUUGCCAAGAAUGUUUUCAUUAAUCAAGAACGAAAGUUAGAGGAUCGAAGACGAUCAGAUACCGUCCUAGUUCUAACCAUAAACGAUGCCGACUAGGGAUCAGCGAGUGUUAUUUGAUGACCUCGUUGGCACCUUAUGGGAA